rnacentral:lncRNA from 10 species
GCAAACCUUUGGGAAGGUUUCCCUUGGCCCCUACAGUGUUGGCGUCACAGACAGGAUCCUAAAGCUGCUCUACUUUUCUGGAAGCCACAGUCCAGGGAACCCAGGACCUGACAAAGCAUCAGAAGGAGUCAUUUAUCUCCGAGGAUGUCAGGAGGAACCCCAAAAUGUCAUCAAGACACUGGCUACAGGUCUAAACUCCAAUAAAAUCCAGCUGGGUUACAUCAAUUCAGACAUCUGGAUAAAAGGAUGAAUGAAACCAUGUACAUAAUACAGAAUUAUGCAUGCCAGGAAAAAAAAUUAUACUGCCUAAAAGCUGCAACCUUCAUGACAUCAAAUCUAUUUUAACACUGGCUGGUUAUGUGAGGAAAAGGCUAAUAAAAAAAAAUUCUGGCUGACCAAAGAAGUAUGUAUGUAUGUAUGUGUAUUUAUUUUUAAAUUAAUAUUGAGAUGGAUUAAUGUUCUAAAAUUUGGAAUUUCUAACAUUAUCUUAUUCAUAAUAUCAUAUAUCAAAAGUCUCUGAAUAGAAAUUGUUCAAAGGCAUAUAAUCUAAUUAUCAUUACCAUGUCACUAAUCUAACCUCUAAGUAAUUGCUAAAUGCCAUCAGCACCUUCAUCUCCAAUUACAUUUUCAUGAUAUUUCAAGCUACAAUAACAAAACAGAUGCUGAUCUCGGCAUUACUAAGCAACAGGAUAUGUAUACUUUUUAGAGUGUGAAAAUAUCACUGCUCUCCCACAGUUAAUGAUACUUAUUUUCCAAGAACUUCUAGUGAUAUGAUUAUGCUCAUCCAAUUCCCAUGAGGCCAACACUGUGAUCACAGGUUACGAUAAGAACUAAAAUGCCACCCACAGCCAUGUCUGAGUGACACGCAAAACGCUUUGAAACUCUUUUCCA